rnacentral:rRNA from 1 species
GGCGACGAUCCCUAGCUGGUCUGAGAGGAUGACCAGCCACACUGGAACUGAGACACGGUCCAGACUCCUACGGGAGGCAGCAGUGGGGAAUAUUGCACAAUGGGCGCAAGCCUGAUGCAGCCAUGCCGCGUGUGUGAAGAAGGCCUUCGGGUUGUAAAGCACUUUCAGCGAGGAGGAAGGUGGUGAGCUUAAUACGUUCAUCAAUUGACGUUACUCGCAGAAGAAGCACCGGCUAACUCCGUGCCAGCAGCCGCGGUAAUACGGAGGGUGCAAGCGUUAAUCGGAAUUACUGGGCGUAAAGCGCACGCAGGCGGUUUGUUAAGUCAGAUGUGAAAUCCCCGGGCUCAACCUGGGAACUGCAUUUGAAACUGGC